rnacentral:rRNA from 1 species
GAUGAACGCUAGCUACAGGCUUAACACAUGCAAGUCGAGGGCAGCGAUGAACUUAGCUUGCUAAGUUUGAUGGCGACCGGCGCACGGGUGAGUAACACGUAUCCAACCUUCCGUUUACUCAGGGAUAGCCUUUCGAAAGAAAGAUUAAUACCUGAUAGUAUGGUGAGAUUGCAUGAUAACACCAUUAAAGAUUUAUUGGUAAACGAUGGGGAUGCGUUCCAUUAGGUAGUAGGCGGGGUAACGGCCCACCUAGCCUGCGAUGGAUAGGGGUUCUGAGAGGGAAGGUCCCCCCACAUUGGAACUGAGACACGGUCCAAACUCCUACGGGAGGCAGCAGUGAGGAAUAUUGGGUCAAUGGACCGAGAGUCUGAACCAGCCAAGUAGCGUGAAGGAUGAAGGUCCUACGGAUUGUAAACUUCUUUUAUACGGGAAUAAAGUGAGGCAUGUGUGCCUUUUUGAUGUACCGU